rnacentral:rRNA from 1 species
UUAGUCAUUUAAUUGAUGACUUGUAUGAAAGAUUGGAUGAAAUAUAAACUGUCUCUUAAUUAAAUAUAUAAUUUAAUUUUUUAAUUAAAAAGUUAAAAUAAAAUAAAAAGACGAGAAGACCCUAUAGAGUUUUAUAAUUAAUUUAAUUGAGAUUAUUUAAAUAAUUUAAAAUUAAAAUUAAAUUAUUUAUUUUGUUGGGGUGAUAGAAAAAUAUAUUUAACUUUUUUUAAAUUAAAAACAUUUAUAAGUGAUUAAGUGAUCCAAUAUUAUUGAUUAUAAGAAAAAAUUACCUUAGGGAUAACAGCGUAAUUUUUUUUUUUAGUUCAAAUAAGAAAAAGAGUUUGCGACCUCGAUGUUGGAUUAAGAUAAAAUUUAAAUGCAGAAG